GUAUUGCUGACAAACGCUCCCUAAACUCCUCUCACCAAGGGUGUCUUUUGUCUUCCUUCAUCACUGUAAAUUUUUCUAUCUUUCAAGAUUAUCAUGCUCUGUCAGACUGCACUGUCCUUUGUCUUUCUAUCUAUCUUCGCACCACCCAAAAGCUGUCUCCCAAACCAUUGGCGGCCUCCUGUCAACGCUUGGCCAGGCCGGAUCUGAAGGUAUUCCCCAUGGAGAUAUUGCCCUUACCAGAAACCACUGGAGGUGUGACCUCCCUCUGUGGACCUACAUGAAUUUGCCUUGUAGUAAUGCAGUAUUACUGUCUCUAUCCAGAGGGAAGCCCAGUGUGCUGUGAGCGGUUUGUGAACUGGUGCUUGCUGGUUGUAACAGCAACUCCAUGUGGAAGUUGCUUGUGUUCCAGUGGAGAUGCUGUUACCUGCAGAGAGUCACCCUCAGCUCGAUCUUUGAGUCAAUGUGUAGAAUAUCACAGGCCUUGUCUUUGGUCAUUCCUGUUAUGUCUUUGUUCAUUCCUGUUAUGAUCUUGGUUGAAAUUAAUUACAUUCCUUUCCCUGCAUUGUUUUUAUGAGAAAUUUUGUAUCAUUAAGAACCGUCUCGAGGUCAUUUAAUGACAUGAGCUCCUUGUUGUCUAUAACAACCAAACAUUGUUAUGAAAAGAAGGGCUAAGAGAAGAAUGGGACGUAUGGUGAUGACCUAUGAAUUGACAGCCAGUGUUUGGAAAACGUCUGCCUGUCAGUUCUGUAGGCCACUGCCGUGUCUGUCCUCCUGAGCACGCAGUUAAUUGAUGUUUAAUAAGUUAUCAACUAACUAUGAUGUUAGUUAAUACCCUACUUUAGAAUGCUGUUUAUUUGUAUGUUAUUUGAAGCCGAUACACAGCCUUGGAAAUAAAGACUGAAUAUUACACUCUG